GGCCGUUCUUAGUUGGUGGAGUGAUUUGUCUGGUUAAUUCCGAUAACGAACGAGACCUUAACCUGCUAAAUAGCCAGGCCGGCUUUUGCUGGUCUCCGGCUUCUUAGAGGGACU
rnacentral:ncRNA from 1 species